GAUAGAGAAGCCGUAUCGAUCUUCUCCAGUAAGCUAAUUAGGUGAUCAGCUUCACCUGUCAUUGCAGACGCUCAGGUGAGACCAGCCCCACAUUAGUGGCAGUAGUCAGAGCGGUGCCUGAAGGUAGAGUUGGAACUAAUACAACAUUGGUUCUGUUGGCCUGGAUGGUUCAGCUUACUGGACGUGGACUGGACAGCGGACAUUGGACUUCCACUUUUUGGCUAGCCCUGCACAACUGAAUUCAAGAGCCAAGAAAGACAAAGAUGGCUUCCAGUUAUAGCUCCGUCCCAUCUGGUAAAGAUAAGAAAAGCAGCUCUGUACCCACAGGCUUUGACACCCAUUCCAGUCGCCAGGAACAGAUGAAACAGUUCUUCCAGGAACGUCAGAUGGAUAAUGAGAGAGCUAAGCCAACACCAGCAUCUUCUAAUAACGCUCAGUCCUCCACGAAUCCGCCCCCAAACUCUUCCGGGCAGGUAAAGAAGGUGCAGAACAUGAUGACAGAACUGGAACUAAUGUGAACUUCGUCUCUGUCCUUAAUCUUCAUCAUGGUCCUAACCUCCAAUACCUGUGACAAGAACCAUGUCCUUUUCCUUUCCAUCUGCCAGUGGACUUCAAUAAAACCUACAGGAGGAGGAUCUGAUCUGACUAAAAUGGAUAAAUCCUUCCUGUUCAAAAUAUCAAAAAAAGUCAAUAUGCAAGUGUAGUAAUAAGAUCACUGUCAUGUGUGCACUGUUUGAAUUGUCAAUGGAGCCAACGUAUGUUCAAGGAAUUCUCAAAGGCUGGUAUCUACCAGGAGUCUGUUUAUGGCGUUUACUUAACAAAACAUUCGCAGCCAUGCAAACUAUGCAGACAGUCUAUGUAUGCUUCCAAACACCAUUAGGGAUGAGAUUAUAUUGAUAAAAUAUACAUAGAUUAAACUUGGUGAAACUGAAAAAGCUGCAGCUGAGUAAGUAUCUAAUCCUGAUACAAACUCGACACACAGAAACACCAUUCGCAGUAACUGUCACUAAACGAAAUCUUAUUCAAUUUUUGUUCAAGGUGGGAUAGGCCACAAUGUGCUAAACUAUACAUUCUUUAAUUGCGUGUGUAUGCGUGUUAUAUUUUUGGAACAGAGGCUGGCUCCCUUUUGUGAUAAUAGUUUACCACUGUUGGAGGCAGCAUGGGAUGGCCAUUUGCCCAACACUGAACAAUCUCAUGGCUCUGCAAAACCAUUCAACUGAAUAAAAACAGUUGUGUUCCA